GGUUCAUGAUGAUAAUGGACCUUAUCUGAAUGUAAUGAUUUCAAACUUUGAGCUUAAAAUGACUUUCUGAAACC
ensembl:snoRNA SNORD107 small nucleolar RNA SNORD107